GAAAAGGAAAACUGAAUAAAAUGGGUGUGUGGCCUAAAUGAGUGAAGAGCACAGACCUGGUGAUUAAACUCAUAGCUAAUAAGACAUAUUAGGCUUAUGUUGUGUGUUGUGCAGCUGAUGGUUGGUUUGGAGUGAAUCUAGCUGAUGAUUCUUCUCCUGUUGUGAAGUUGAUGAGGAGUUUGUGUCAUGACUUAACAAGGCCUUCUUAUUUUGAUACUUUCACAGUGCACUGAGAGUUUGGUUUGAUAAUCUUUGUUAUUUUUUUGUUUUUAUCUUUUGAACAGACACUGAUUUUGUUUGUCUAUUUCUUUUCUUUAAGCGGAUCUGCACGUCAGAAAUUAAAAGUGCUAUACGACCUGUCGAGAAAGCCGUUACAAGUGAAUUUUCUCCACAUUAAAAUGGGCUCUGGAGAAAGCCACUUAUUUGGGACAAUAUUAAAUGAGUGUCCCAGCCUAAAAAAAAAAAGGAUUCAGCAGCGAUGUAAUCCAAACUAAAGUUCUUCUUUUUCUUUUUGAGAUGACGUCAUUUUGCUGAGAGUGGAAACUAAAUGCGACGAUAGGUUCCACUAUCAGCAAAGAAAGAAUGAAUGAAUGCAUGAAUGAAUGGAAAUAAAAACAAACUGACUGACUGACUGGUAAAAGCUGACAAGACUUGACCACGACUCAAAGUUAAUCUCCACCUAGACAGGACAAAAGGGUGGAUGAAUUUAUGUGUUUCCUUUUACAGGAGCAGAAAGAUGACAGCAACAUCUGAGGUUGCAUGACGAUAAUCUGUUAAGUGCCACUUUCUGUGUCUGUGCAUUUACCAAGGGUGCUAUUCCCUACCUUGUGUUGCUUACAGAGGUAACGGUGAUACAGUGUAUACACCUGCGCAGCGCUAACAUUUACAUUUCUUUUUACGGCAGAUGAUUAAUCAUGUGAUUGAUCAUGUGAUUGAUCAUGUGAUUUAUAAGAGGAUUAGUUAAUGUUUUUCUACUACAGGAUUUCUGGGUUUAUGUGUGAGGAAAACUAUGUUUACAGGUUAUGAGUGGUGAUGCUGUUACACUGUGUUUUUGGGAAAAUGUGACGGUUACUUUGAUGAUAUGAAUAACAUUUUUCCACAGCAGUGGAUGGUUGAUUUUAUGGUCUUUUUUUUUUUUUUUUAUGGCACCUCUGGAACCUGUCGACCUGCAUUUGACCACAGUCAAUAUGUAUUGCUAAUGUUUGUUUUUCUAUGACUAGAUGUAGAGGAUUUGGCAGAAGCGGACAAGUGACAUGAGACAAACAAAUAAGAGAUGCAGUGUUUAUGGUAUAGUUGAAGAUGGGCUAUUGAGCUCAUAGUGAUUGAUGAGUUGAGUGACUUUGCUUAAGAGAAGUCACUGAUUACAUUAAUGUUAACUGAGUACAUGGGAUGAUCCAUGUUUGAGGCAAAUUAUGGUAAUAAUUGUAGUUUACUGAUUUGAGAAAACCUGCACAUGACACUUCUCUUGCUGAUGCUGAAUGUUUGUUACUCUUAUGAUAUACUUGUUUACAGGUAUGAAGUUUGAUUUCACUUCCAGAUUUUGCUUUCCAGGCCAUGAUGGUGUGUAUGCAGGCUCCUGGGAGAGCCAGGUGUUAAGCAAACUUAAUAUGCAAAACACGCUAACAUUUUUAUUGCAGGAUUAUAGGUCCAGGGUGGUGCUGCUCCAGGGGAGGCGAUGCCCUGAUGUUGCCUGGGAUAGGAUCUAGC
ensembl:lncRNA